AGUAGAGGAACCUUCCAUUUUCAUUUAGACAAUCAUUUCUUGCCUCUACUCUUUAAAAAAAGAGCUAACAUCAUUCCUCUCAGUGUCUUGAGCCCAUAAACCGGAAGACCUGAUAGCUGUGAGCUUCAGAAUUUCUAUCUGGUCUCUGAUACCCCCCACCUUAAGUCUCCUCCUCAUCCUCUCUCUCCUCGUGCUUGGCUUCCAUGAAGAGCAGUUGCAGGGAAGGAAAAGGAGCGGGGCUUGCCUCCUUUCGUGGUCUUGAUGACACCGCACCUGGGAUUCAUUCUGGACAACCUACACAGGGAGUCACAUGUGUUCAGAGUGUAUUAAGAAGAACAGUUAACUUUCAGCUCAGGAACUCAGACAUCAGGAUCAUUGAUGUAGCGUUGAAGGCUGGAUUUUUCUACAGUGACCGUGGUUACAGGCAGGCUACUCUCUUUUCUUGUUUUCUGCAGGAAGGUUCAAGCUGAUCAGGCAGCCCCCUGCUCUGAAACCUUUACAAGACAGGAACAGCGAUCCAUCUCAGUCAUUUCUCCAGAUCAGGAACCAACCUCAGCCCAGUUCUGAGGGAAGAGACCUGAACCCCAGCUGUUCCUGCUUUGGGCACAUCUAGGU
ensembl:lncRNA